AGCAACAUUAGAAGGAUUCUUUAAUAAUUUAACACAAUUAUAAAAACGUACAGUGUACCUUGAAGUGUUUUAUGUUCAAAAGGAUUUUUCUUAUUUGAACGUUGAUUUUGACUUCAUUUUGGAAUGUUGCUUUCAAAAAAGAAAUUUCUAUUGGUAUAACUUUUAGUUGAAAAAAUGAAGCUCUCUAAUCUGAUACCAAUAUCGACUAUCUUUGUUACACGUAUAUGACCGAAUGAGAAGAUGUGGAGGAUCAGACAUACUGUACACAAGGAAAUAUUCGCGUCCGUAUUAUUUUCGCCCAUUUGACUUCAUUGUCACCAGACAAGUUUUAGACUGGGCGAAUUCCAAUGUAUCAUAUUAUAUAUCUUUAAACACAUUUGUUUCUAGACAAACUUAAGAAGGGGCGAAACUGUUUAGAAGUAUAGAUUGGCGAAAAUUACACGGGGCAAAAAAUAACCCUUUGUACAGUAGUGACAAUGGUUUCCUACAAUGCAUAUGGUUCUUUCAUAUAUGGAAUCUGGUAAAGCUUUUUGGAAAUCUUAAUUCAGUUCCUGCUCUCAAUUAAAUAUUAAAUUGCU
rnacentral:sRNA from 1 species